rnacentral:rRNA from 1 species
AGCACGUAGGUGGGUUUGUAAGUCAGAUGUGAAAGCCUCCUGUUCAACGGGAGAAUUGCAUCUGAAACUACUGAUCUUGAGUGUAGGAGGGGAGAAUGGAACUUCUGGUGGAGCGGUGAAAUGCGUAGAUAUCAGAAGGAACGCCGGCGGCGAAAGCGAUUCUCUGGCCUAUUACUGGCGCUCAGUGUGCGAAAGCUAGGGGAGCAAACGGGAUUAGAUACCCCGGUAGUCCUAGCCGUAAACGAUGGGCACUAAGUAGAGGGG